UACGUAGGGUGCAAGCGUUAAUCGGAAUUACUGGGCGUAAAGCGUGCGCAGGCGGCUUUGCAAGACAGAUGUGAAAUCCCCGGGCUUAACCUGGGAACUGCAUUUGUGACUGCAUGGCUAGAGUGCGGCAGAGGGGGGAUGGAAUUCCGCGUGUAGCAGUGAAAUGCGUAGAUAUGCGGAGGAACACCGAUGGCGAAGGCAAUCCCCUGGGCCUGCACUGACGCUCAUGCACGAAAGCGUGGGGAGCAAACAGG
rnacentral:rRNA from 1 species